rnacentral:rRNA from 1 species
AUUGAACGCUGGCGGCAGGCCUAACACAUGCAAGUCGAGCGGAGCGGCGGACGGGUGAGUAAUACCUAGGAAUCUGCCUGGUAGUGGGGGAUAACGUUCGGAAACGGACGCUAAUACCGCAUACUAUCAGAUGAUCCUAGGUCGGAUUAGCUAGUUGGUGAGGUAAUGGCUAACCAAGGCUACGAUCCGUAACUGGUCUGAGAGGAUGAUCAGUCACACUGGAACUUGGACACGGUCCAGGCUCCUACGGUGGGCAGCAGUGGGAAAUAUUGGACAAAGGGCGGAAGCCUGAUCCAGCCAUGCCGCGUGUGUGAAGAAGGUCAUCGGAUUGUAAAGCACUUUAAGUUGGGAGGCGUUACCGACAGAAUAAGCACCGGCUAACUCUGUGCCAGCAGCCGCGUAAUUC